rnacentral:rRNA from 1 species
UACCAGCAGCCCAAGUGGUGGUCGCGAUUAUUGGGCCUAAAGCGCUCGUAGCCGGGUCAGCAAGUCCCUUGUGAAAUCGGGCGGCCCAACCGUUCGGCUUGCAAGGGAUACUGCUGGCCUAGAGGCCGGGAGACGUCUGAGGUACUCCGGGGGUAGCGGUGAAAUGCUCUGAUCCUCGGGGGACCACCAGUGGCGAAGGCGUCAGACGAGAACGGGCCUGACGGUGAGGGGCGAAGGCUAGGGGCGCGAACGGG